GACGAACGCUGGCGGCGUGCUUAACACAUGCAAGUCCAACGAAGUGGCGAACGGGUGAGUAACGCGUAAUCAACCUGCCCUUCAGAGGGGGACAACAGAUGGAAACGACUGCUAAUACCGCAUACUGAAGGAGGGGCGUGCGUCGGAUUAGCUAGGUGGAGGGGUAACGGCCCACAAAGGCGAUGAGCAGGAACACGUCUGCGAGGAUGAACGGCCAAAUUGGGACUGGGACACGGCCCAGACUCCUACGGGAGGCAGCAGUGGGGAAUCUUCCGCAAUGGACGAAAGUCUGACGGAGCAACGCCGCGUGAGUGAUGACGGCCUUCGGGUUGUAAAGCUCUGUUAAUCGGGACGCGGUACCUGAAUAGAAAGCCACGGCUAACUACGUGCCAGCAGCCGCGGUAAUUC
rnacentral:rRNA from 1 species